AUUUAUUUAGUAUAAAAAAUAUAUUUAAUUUCCAAUUAAAAGAUUUAAUUAAUUUAAAAUAAGUA
rnacentral:tRNA from 1 species